rnacentral:rRNA from 1 species
UGGCGGCGGGUCUAAGGCAUGCAAGUCGUACGAAGGUGGCUUGUAGCACGAUGCGCAUUUUGCGCAGUCCAUAAAGUUAAAAGUUUAUAAAGUCUAUAAAGUUACAACCAUGGUGACUUUAAGGACUUUCGACUUUAAAGACUUUAUUGACUGACGCACGAAGUGCGUAAUGUGCUAUGAGCUACUUCAGUGGCAAACGGGUGAGUAACACACUGGUAACCUACCUUCAAGACGAGGAUAGCUCGCCGAAAGGCGAAUUAAUACUCGAUGGUAAUGCGGGGACAUAAGUCAUUCGCAUUUAAAGUCGCAAGACGCUUGAAGAGGGGNCUAUGUCUGAUUAGCUAGUUGGUAGGGUAAUGGCCUACCAAGGCUACGAUCAGUAGCAGGCGUGAGAGCGUGACCCGCCUCACUGGGACUGAGAUACUGCCCAGACUCCUACGGGAGGCUGCAGUCGAGAAUCUUCCACAAUGGGCGAAAGCCUGAUGGAGCGACGCCGCGUGCAGGAUGAAAGGCCUCGGGUCGNAAACUGC